rnacentral:lncRNA from 1 species
GUGUACUGUAUAAAUAACAUUGUGACAUCAUCAUUGUCUCAUUGCUGGUCAGCCUGGUCCACAGUUUGAUGGGUGAGGAAUAAGACCCAAAAAAUGUCCUAAGAUUUGAAUAUGGCCCAAUUGAGCGUUCAGAAAGAUCCAGGACGCAUCAGAGCCUUCAGGACCAUUAAGCAGCUGUACAGUUUUACAAAGAAGAAGAAGAGUAAUUCUGCUUCAGGAAGAUCAGAGGAUGGAUGAUCC